rnacentral:rRNA from 1 species
UGGGGAAUUUUGGACAAUGGGGGGAACCCUGAUCCAGCAACGCCGCGUGAAUGAAGAAGGCCUUAGGGUUGUAAAGUUCUUUAGUCUGGGGACAAGAGUCAGCGGGUAAUAUACGUUGAUGAUGAGAGUACCAGAAGAAUAAGCACCGGCUAACUACGUGCCAGCAGCCGCGGUAAUACGUAGGGUGCGAGCGUUAAUCGGAAUUACUGGGCGUAAAGGGAGCGCAGGCGGAUAUAUAAGUUAGAUGUGAAAUCCCCGAGCUUAACUUGGGAACAGCAUUUAAGACUGUGUAUCUAGAGUUUAUUAGAGGGGGGUAGAAUUCCAAGUGUAGCAGUGAAAUGCGUAGAGAUUUGGAGGAAUACCAGUGGCGAAGGCGGCCCCCUGGGAUAGAACUGACGCU